AACGAACGCUGGCGGCAUGCCUAACACAUGCAAGUCGAACGAGACCUUCGGGUCUAGUGGCGCACGCGUGCGUAACGCGUGGGAACCUGCCCUUAGGUUCGGAAUAACUCCCCGAAAGGGGUGCUAAUACCGGAUCAUGUCUUCGGACCAAAGAUUUAUCGCCUUUGGAUGGGCCCGCGUGGGAUUAGCUAGUUGGUAGGGUAAAAGCCUACCAAGGCGACGAUCCAUGGCUGGUUUGAGAGGAUGAUCAGCCACACUGGGACUGGGACACGGCCGAGACUCCUACGGGAGGCAGCAGUGGGGAAUAUUGGACAAUGGGCGGAAGGCUGAUCCAGCAAGGCCGCGUGAGUGAUGAAGGCCUUAGGGUUGUAAAGCUCGUUUACCCGGGAUGAUAAUGACAGUACCGGGAGAAUAAGCACCGGCUAACUCCGUG
rnacentral:rRNA from 1 species